GAUGAACGCUGGCGGCGUGCCUAACACAUGCAAGUCGAACGGAGUCCAGCCUUUAAGACCUUCGGGUCAAAGAGGGGAAGACUGAGUGGUGGACGGGUGAGUAACACGUGGGCAACCUGGCUCAUAGAGGGGGAUAACAGAGAGAAAUUUCUGCUAAUACCGCAUAAGCACACACUGCCGCAUGGCAGAGGGUGAAAAGAGAAUCGCUAUGAGAUGGACCCGCGUCUGAUUAGCCAGUUGGCAGGGUAAGAGCCUACCAAAGCGACGAUCAGUAGCCGAUCUGAGAGGAUGAACGGCCACAUUGGGACUGAGACACGGCCCAAACUCCUACGGGAGGCAGCAGUGGGGGAUAUUGCACAAUGGGGGGAACCCUGAUGCAGCGACGCCGCGUGAGUGAAGAAGUAUUUCGGUAUGUAAAGCUCUAUCAGCAGGGAAGAUAAUGACAGUACCUGAAGAAGAAGCCCCGGCUAACUACGUG
rnacentral:rRNA from 1 species